GCAUUAAUGGGGUAGUGGUCACUUGGGUCGUUGCCAUCGACCCGCCGGGGGUUCGAUUCCCCCUUACAGCU
rnacentral:tRNA from 1 species